CUAGAGUCAGCUCUACAGCUAACAGUUACUACCCAUAGAGUCAGCUCUACAGCUAACAGUUACUACCCAUAGAGUCAGCUCUACAGCUAACAGUUACUACCCAUAGAGUCAGCUCUAAGGCUAACAGUUACUACCCAUAGAGUCAGCUCUACGGCUAACAGUUACUACCCAUAGAGUCAGCUCUACAGCUAACAGUUACUACCCAUAGAGUCAGCUCUACAGCUAACAGUUACUACCCAUAGAGUCAGCUCUACAGCUAACAGUUACUACCCAUAGAGUCAGCUCUACAGCUAACAGUUACUACCCAUAGAGUCAGCUCUAAUGCUAACAGUUACUACCCAUAGAGUCAGCUCUAAUGCUAACAUUACUACCCAUAGAGUCAGCUCUACAGCUAACAGUUACUACCCAUAGAGUCAGCUCUACAGCUAACAGUUACUACCCAUAGAGUCAGCUCUACAGCUAACAGUUACUACCCAUAGAGUCAGCUCUACAGCUAACAGUUACUACCCAUAGAGUCAGCUCUACAGCUAACAGUUACUACCCAUAGAGUCAGCUCUAAGGCUAACAGUUACUACCCAUAGAGUCAGCUCUACAGCUAACAGUUACUACCCAUAGAGUCAGCUCUACAGCUAACAGUUACUACCCAUAGAGUCAGCUCUC